GCAGGGUACCACCAUCUUAAGGACAGAAAAGCUACAGGACUCUAGGAGGCCACCGUCCUGAUUUGGGAAGUCCAACUUACUUUGGCCAGACAGCAGCUAAGCUGGUUCAUCCCAUCAGCCUGGAUUGGUGAAACUGAAUCACAGGAGAUAUUUCCAGGUUUGCUGGGAUGGGAAACCUGCUCAAAGUCCUUACCAGGGAAAUUGAAAACUAUCCACACUUUUUCCUGGAUUUUGAAAAUGCUCAGCCUACAGAAGGAGAGAGAGAAAUCUGGAACCAGAUCAGCGCCGUCCUUCAGGAUUCUGAGAGCAUCCUUGCAGACCUGCAGGCUUACAAAGGCGCAGGCCCAGAGAUCCGAGAUGUAUGUCAAUGAUCACGCUGAACUGACAACACCCGAGGAGGGGAAGGAAAACCACACAUGCACACAGACACACACAGCAAGAUUAAGUAAUAGCUACAGUAUUUCCUAGAGUACCAGGAAGAACAAGGAGGGUAAUGUGUCCUUAAAAACAAAAUGCAUGGGCCGGCUGCGGUGGCUCACGCCUAUAAUCCCAGUACUUUGGGAGGCUGAGGCAGGUGGAUCACCUGAGGUCAGGAGUUCAAGACCAGGCUGGCCAACAUGGUGAAACCCAGACUCAACUAAAAAUACAAAAAAAUUAGCUGGGCAUGGUGGCAGGUGCCUUUAAUCCCUGCUACUUUGGGAGGCUGAAGCAGGAGAAUCACUUGAACCUGGGAAGCAGAGGUUUCAGUGAGCUGAGGUUGCACAUCGCACCAUUGCACUCCAGCCUGGGCAACAAGAGUGAAACUCUGUCUCAAAAAAAAAAAAAAAAAGAGCAUGAAUCGCCCCUUUUAUUCUAGUGCAUUAAUCUGAGCACACAGUGCUAUAGAUUAAUAUUACCCAUUCUCUUCUCAAACACACAAGUGAUAUUGCAGGACUCACAUUUAAACAAUAAUGUAUCAAUAUGUUAUUUCAUUUAAGGG
rnacentral:lncRNA from 10 species